rnacentral:rRNA from 1 species
GUAGGGGGCGAGCGUUGUCCGGAUUUAUUGGGCGUAAAGAGCUCGUAGGCGGCUCCGCAAGUCGGCCGUGAAAACCCAGGGCUCAACCCUGGGAUGCCGGUCGAUACUGCUGUGGCUGGGGUCCGGUAGAGGAGCGUGGAAUUCCCGGUGUAGCGGUGAAAUGCGCAGAUAUCGGGAGGAACACCAGUAGCGAAGGCGGCGCUCUGGGCCGGCACCGACGCUGAGGAGCGAAAGCUAGGGGAGCAAACAGGAUUAGAUACCCUGGUAGUCCUAGCCGUAAACGUUGGGCACUAGGUGUGGCGGAUGCAUUCACGUCUGCUGCGCCGUAGCUAACGCAUUAAGUGCCCCGCCUGGGGAGUACGGCCGCAAGGCUAAA